UACGUAGGGUGCGAGCGUUGUCCGGCAUUCUUGGGCGUAAAGCGCUUGUAGGUGGCUCGUCGCGUCGGGAGUGAAAACCCGCGGCUUAACCGCGGGCCUGCUUUCGAUACGGGCGGGCUAGAGUUCGGCAGGGGAGACUGGAAUUCCUGGUGUAGCGGUGGAAUGCGCAGAUAUCAGGAGGAACACCGGUGGCGAAGGCGGGUCUCUGGGCCGAUACUGACACUGAGAAGCGAAAGCGUGGGGAGCGAACAGG
rnacentral:rRNA from 1 species